rnacentral:misc_RNA from 1 species
GCCUGCAGAGCGCGUUUCUUCUCUCUGUACUCUGCAGGAACGAUGAUUAAGCUUUUUAAAGUGAAGGAAAAGCAGAGAGAGAUUGCAGCGAAUGCCAAUGGAAAACCUCCUGUCAAGAAGCAAACUGCUGGAGAAUUGCGUCUUCAAAAAGAUAUCAGUGAAUUGAACCUACCAAAAACGUGUAGUAUAUCGUUUCCUAAUGGCAAGGAUGACUUGAUGAACUUUGAGGUCACUAUUCAUCCUGAUGAAGGAUAUUAUCUAGGUGGUACGUUUCUCUUCUCUUUCCAAGUUUCCCCUGUCUACCCUCACGAGCCACCAAAAGUGAAGUGCAAGACAAAGGUGUAUCAUCCUAAUAUUGACUUGGAAGGAAAUGUUUGUCUCAAUAUUUUAAGAGAGGACUGGAAGCCCGUUCUGAAUAUCAACACUAUAAUAUACGGAUUGUUUCAUCUUUUCACGCAACCGAAUCAUGAAGACCCCCUCAACCAUGAUGCUGCUGCUGUUUUAAGAGAUAACCCGAAGAUGUUUGAAUCCAACGUGAGAAGAGCCAUGGCUGGGGGCUAUGUGGGACAAACUUACUUCACUCGUUGCAUGUAGAUUCUACAUGAAUUGUAAAGCACCAGAUACAUUAUUUGAAGCAUGGGCUCCGCAAGGUCAUUGAACUUCUCUGGUAAGGUAAUGUCUAAUGUGUUGAGGACUGUCUGAUCACCGGCGCAACACGAAUUCCUUUGUGAUGGAGGUAGAACUUUGUUGUGUUUGAAGUACUGGUUUCAAACGGAAGUUGGACUGGAAACUGAAACUCUUAUCUGUGUAUGUAUUUCCUCUAAUUUAUCUUGAAAAGACAGGUUGCUCUUUUGCUAUCAGUUGAAACUAUAAGGUAUGUUUUUGGAGCCUCCCUUCUUUUCUUUAUCAGAGUCUACUACCUG